AAGUCGUAACAAGGUUUCCGUAGGUGAACCUGCGGAAGGAUCAUUAGCGAAGUUCGGAAUGCAUGUUCGGUGUUGAUGCUGCCCAGCAAUGGGAUGUGCUCGCUCGGAUGUGUGUCCCUUCUCUAUCCACCCCAUUGUGAACCAAGUGUGUGAGCCGAAGAGAAAUCGGACGCUCGCAUGCAAACCUUUAACAUACCCCAAUAAAGUAUCAGAAUGUACCUUGCGUUAACUCGCACAAAUAUAACUUUCAACAACGGAUCUCUUGGCUCUC
rnacentral:misc_RNA from 1 species